UAGCUCACUGGUAGAGCAUGUGCUUAGCAUGCAUGAGGUCCUGGGUUCAAUCCCCAG
rnacentral:tRNA from 1 species